AGCGGCAGCCGUCCUGUGGGCACUGCCCUCGCCAUGUCGUGAUAGGAGCCUCAUCCAGUCCAGGGAGUUCUUGCACGGUGCCAUGAACAGUUCUGCCAUGGCAUGGGCUUCUGCCAUUCCAAGUAUUUGCUGAAUCACAAGGAAAAGUCACGCUCUCCCUGGUUUUUCAAGAUUGAAAGGAAGACAUGGAGGUGCACUCCAUGUAGGAGCCUCCUGAGCAGAUUUACCCAACCCUGGUGUGAUGCUGGAGCCUGAGCAAUGAUUCCAUGUGUCUUCUGUCAUGUGACACACAGCUACAGGUGUCAGCAAGAGGACUGGAAGAAUGGAUUGUGUUCCCUGAAAUGCAGCUGGAGAAUGAGGGCAGCUGAGGCCACCCCAGACCUCAGGAGAUUGAUAGUGUUGGCAGCUGAGGAUCUAAUUAUGGAUUAUUUGGGUCGGACUCUUUUAUCCCAGGCAGAGCCCAAACCAGACUGGCACAGUCUGCAAUCCUUAAACUGACCAUAAACAAGACACAUGGUAAG